ACAAGAGCGUGGAGCAUGUGGCUUAAUUUGACUCAACGCGGAAAAACUUACCAGGUCCGGACACACUGAGGAUUGACAGACGGUUAACGCCCUUCGGGGCAAGAGACAAAAUUUUUGGCUCUUUCAUGAUUAUGUGAUAGGUGGUGCAUGGCCGUUCUUAGUUCGUGGAGUGAUCUGUCUGCCCAAUCGCGUUUCAUAAAUCUUAAGCUCAAAAGGCAGUCUUACCUUCGGGUUGAGUUUUGCUGGGAGACUUUUGUGUGAACGC
rnacentral:rRNA from 1 species